rnacentral:rRNA from 1 species
UACGUAGGGUGCGAGCGUUAAUCGGAAUUACUGGGCGUAAAGCGUGCGCAGGCGGUUUUGUAAGUCCGAUGUGAAAUCCCCGGGCUUAACCUGGGAACUGCGUUUGAAACUACAAGGCUAGAGUGUAGCAGAGGGGGGUGGAAUUCCACGUGUAGCAGUGAAAUGCGUAGGGAUGUGGAGGAACACCGAUGGCGAAGGCAGCCCCCUGGGUUAACACUGACGCUCAGGCACGAAAGCGUGGGGAGCAAACAGG